UAUUGGCUUUAUAAGUUUCAAAGACGUUAUUAUCAAUAAUGCAUUUUGUUCUGAGAUGAUUGUUUUUCAAAAUCCGAAACAGAUCUUGUACAGUUGUAUCGUCUGCUAAAUUUAUCAGUGUCACUAGAUUCAAAAUAAUAACAAUUGGAUCGUUAGUUAUUUUUAACCGAACACAGUCACCCUGUUCACUAUUUUAGUGUGAAUUUAGAAAUGAAUUGGGAGAUUUUUAACACACAAUAUGUUUUAUGAAAGGAAGUGACAUUUUCCAGUCUAAAGUUAUUUUUCUAAGAAUAAUAGAUCAAUGAGAAGAGAGAGAUGGCCUCGCCUAGAGAUUCUCCUGCUUCAGAAGUGCCUUCAGAAAAUGUGCUAGGAACAUUAUCCAUUAGAGACAAAUCUCUUUUAAAAAGAAACAUUAACAGACAUCAUAAUAACAACCUGAGUGCUGGAUACGUGCCUGUCCACGAGGAAGAUCUUCACAAGACUGGCCUGAGGGGACGAAAGACAUACUUGUUUUGGACUGUUGUAGCUGUAAUAUGUGUUCUAGCAUUAGCCAAUUUAAUUUUAUUACUGAUCAUGUUAAGUGUGCUGAGAAUUGGGCUGGGAAUGGAAAGUUUAGAAAUAAUACCUGACCAAUCCCUAGUAAAAUUGUACGGGGAAAAAACCGAUUUGGGGCAGAUAUACAAACGAGACGGCCUGAUCGAGGGAUACAGAGACAAACCAUUGGUAAUAACCGCAGAUAAAAGUCAAUUACUAUUAGAUAUUGUUUCUGUAGAACGAGAAUCUCGUAAAAGAGUCAUGACUCUAGAAGAGGACCAAGUGCUCUUUGAUAGAGUUCAGUCAUUCCAAGUCAAAGACCCGAAGAGUGGUAAGGAAAUAUUCUCGACGAAAAAUCCUAAUUUUGGGCUUCCGAACGGUGUGCGACACCUGCACGUGGAUUACGCUACCACUCCCAGAGUGACCAGUGCUGUCGAUGAAAAUUUGGUGCUGAGAUCCGACUCAUACAUUCGGUUCAAAGGAAAUGAAGGAACGAGGAUGGAGGGGAAGAACAUUCUGUGGUCGGCGGACCAGUUUUUGUUUCUAAAAAGUGUUAACGGAAGUAUAAUUUUAAAUGGUACCAAAGGAGUGUCCAUCGAUAUGAGUCAAAUGCCACAAGCUCCCAGUGGAACCUCGGGUUCUCCGUUUAUCAGUCAGUUCAAGGUGUGUGUCUGCAUGCCCUCAGGGAAAUUGUUCAGGGUGGCAGUGCACGCUGGUCAAAGCUCACACACUGCCUGUAUGAGGACCAACAUGGCCCAACACAUCGACCCAUGCAAACUAUCCUAAUAAAUAUCUUUUAAAAUAAGUCAUUGAAAAGUUCAUAUCAAAAUAUUAAUGUUAAUGUGGAAGAGUUAAAGGUAUCUGCGAAUUAAUAUUCCUAGUAGUAGUCUAUUACGCUUGUUCACAGUUUUUUUUUUUUAUUCCAAUUACUAAUUUUAUACCGUCUCUUGAGUAUUAAUAACAUAUGUUGAAUAUCAAAGUCUGACUUCCAGGCACAAAAGACAUGUUAUAGUGGAAAAUCCUAUUAAAAAUUGGCUCUUUUAUAAGCUGAUAUUGACCAUAAAUCCGCUUUCUGUAAAAACCCUUAAGUUGUUGACACAUUUUGUUUCCUCAGGUCCCACUUAAGGCCAAACUGGUGGGUGCAUUACUAUGUUGUUGUUUUACGUACUGUGUUAAGUAAUACAUAAGGAGACAUAUCAGUAAUAAGCUACGUAAUUAAGAGGGCAUACAGGGUAGCUGUCUGCUGUAUACCUGAGGCUUAAAUCUGUGUUAUAAGUCCAAAAAUAUUUCACUUUAAAAACUUAGUUUUUAAUCUUUGAAUUCUAAUAAACAGUUUAACAUAGGAAGAUCGGUAUUAAAUAUAAAUUAUAAGCCAUUAAUAUCAACAGAUAUUCAAUUAUUUAUUUAACAAUUCAUUAGACACUGAAAUUGAACUUUCUGAAGUGCAAUAUUUUUUGACUUAGACAGAUUUUUAUUUAUAACCUGUUAUAACCGUGUUCAUAUGCACAGCCAGCAGCUAAACUCGUAUCCUCUUAGUAUUUAGAUAAACUGGUUUAUUUUCAGUUUUUUGUACAUUAAUGUAUUAUUAGCUUAACCCUCUCCCAGUUGAUUUACUGCAAAGCGCUUUUGGUCCAAGCGUGGUUAAACCAAUUCAUUCGUUGGAUAUAUAUUCGCGUUUUGUAGGUUUACCCAGUCCAUUGGAACAAAACUUGUACGUAAUUGUGAAUGUUAUUUACAGCACUGUUAAAGUACAACAAGAAACACGGUUUUUAGUGCUAUGUACCCUGUCAAAAACUUAGAGUACAAAUACACAGACAGCGAAAUUAUCAGUUCCUAUGGGAUAAAAUACACAGAUCACGUCAUGUAGCAUUGUAAUCUGUGUAUUUUGUUUCACAGUUACGCGUUAUUUCACUGUCUGUGUGUUUUUACCCCUCACUGGGAGAAGGUUAAUAAAAAAAUAUAUUUAUUUGUCUUGAUAAAAUCUAGUCACUGUCACAAAGUAUUUUUAAAGUAUUGAAAUAAACUAAUUGAUUGUUUUGUAUCAAUGAAAAACGGCAAAUGUCUGAAAAAAUCCUGUUUCCUUCUAAACCCUUUUCUUUGAAUCAAUUCAACCAGUUUGCCAAUGAAUUUGCCAACAUCCUGGAGAUAAUAAUUUACAAUUUGCUCUUCUGUUUCAGUGAAAAUAAAUUGAGUUACCUCGUAAGGGAAUUGAUUGGUGUUGCUAAGUAUACAACUAAUUGGUGUUGUUUUGCUCAAAUUUAGAAUAUAAUUAGUGAGUAGGCUUGUCAAGUUCUAGUCAAUCAGCAAAUUGUAGAGUAGGUUUGUGUGUGUGUGACGGAUUACUGCCCCACUUCUGUUGAUAUUAAUUAAGUCAAUGAUGUUAUAUAUACAUACUGUAGUACUUGUAAAUAAUUAAUAGGUAUAGGCCAAAUGGUUGUUCUGUAUUAGGUUAGAAUAGUAAUUCUAAAUUAGGCCUACAGUAUGGUUUAUGAAAAUAUAUUGAUUUUAUAUGA
rnacentral:misc_RNA from 1 species